rnacentral:rRNA from 1 species
CGCGUAGGUGGCGAGGUCAGUCAGAUGUGAAAGCCCCGGGCUCAACCUGGGAACUGCACCUGAUACUGCCUUGCUAGAGUACGGUAGAGGGUAGUGGAAUUUCCUGUGUAGCGGUGAAAUGCGUAGAUAUAGGAAGGAACACCAGUGGCGAAGGCGACUACCUGGACUGAUACUGACACUGAGGUGCGAAAGCGUGGGGAGCAAACA